UGAGGAAUAUUGGACAAUGGGUGAGAGCAUGAUCCAGCCAUCCCGCGUGAAGGCCGACGGCCCUAUGGGUUGUAAACUUCUUUUGUAUAGGGAUAAACCUUUNCACGUGUGGAAAGCUGAAGGUACUAUACCAAUAAGCACCGGCUAACUCCGUCCCACAGCCGCGGUAAUACGGAGGGCGCAAGCGUUAUCCGGAUUUAUUGGGUUUAAAGGGUCCGUAGGCGGGCUCGUAACUCAGUGGUGAAAUCUCAUANCUUAACUAGAAACUGCCAUUGAUACUGCGAGCUUGAGUAAGGUAGAGGUAGCUGGAAUAAGUAGUGUGCGGUGAAAUGCAUAGAUAUUACUUAGAACACCAAUUGCGAAGGCAGGACCAUGUCUUAACUGACGCUGANGGACGAAAGCGUGGGGAGCGAACAGGAUUAGAUCCCCUGGUAGGCCACGCCGUAAACGAUGCUAACUCGUUUUUGGGUCUUCGGAUUCAGAGACUAAGCGAAAGUGAUAAGUUAGCCACCUGGGG
rnacentral:rRNA from 1 species